GGAUGAACGCUGGCGGCGUGCCUAAUACAUGCAAGUCGAGCGAACAGACGAGGAGCUUGCUCCUCUGACGUUAGCGGCGGACGGGUGAGUAACACGUGGAUAACCUACCUAUAAGACUGGGAUAACUUCGGGAAACCGGAGCUAAUACCGGAUAAUAUAUUGAACCGCAUGGUUCAAUAGUGAAAGACGGUUUUGCUGUCACUUAUAGAUGGAUCCGCGCCGCAUUAGCUAGUUGGUAAGGUAACGGCUUACCAAGGCAACGAUGCGUAGCCGACCUGAGAGGGUGAUAGGCCACACUGGAACUGAGACACGGUCCAGACUACUAAGGGAGGCAGCAGUAGGGAAUCUUCCGCAAUGGGCGAAAGCAUGACGGAGCAACGCCGCGUGAGUGAUGAAGGUCUUCGGAUCGUAAAACUCUGUUAUUAGGGAAGAACAAAUGUGGAAGUAACUAUGCACGGCUUGACGGUACCUAAUCAGAAAGCAACGGCUAACUACGUG
rnacentral:rRNA from 1 species